ACAUGGCCCAUUCUUCACGCAUCUUCCAAACUCCUAACGAAGGCCGGAGCUGGACAGCAAGCAGGCGUGUGUGCAGGGUACAUGUGUGUGCGUGCGUGAGCGUGCGUGUGGAGCGGGGGUGGAAGGCAUGGACUGUCUGUCGCCCCCCAGGGAGAGCGAGGACCCUAUUUCCAGUCGUCCCGGGAGCUGGGGACCCGGUGGGAACUUGUUUGGCCGGAGGGAGCAGCACAGGCUCAGGGGGAAGGAGAGGCAGAGGGGACCCGGGGUGAGGCCAGGUGUUGUUUGGGGCUCCUCCGGAUGCACCCCUCAUGAGGUCGGCCCUGCCAGAACCAGCCUCCAGCACCACCACCCCCACCCGGCGCGGCCACCUGCUGCCACGGAAACCUGUGGUGGAGCAGAGACCCAGCAACAUCUUCAAUGUGUGGCUGUAGGGACCUCUACACCGAGACGCACCCACAGAUCAGGACAGAGGGGCCACUGGCCCUCCUGGCAGGGGUUCCCCGAAGCCCCAACAUGGCAGGCUGCGCUGGUGGGGACCGAGGGCUCCCCAUCUCCGUCUGGCUUCCGUCACUCCCGGGAUGCCUGUGAGCAGCACCUGUGCUGCUGCAGACGCGGGAAAGGGCUUCCCGAGAACCCAGAGGGGAAGCAGUGGACACGUUUGUACCCACCCCCAUCCGGGCGUCACACUCUCUCACCGUCAGGUUCUCAUUCUGCUCUGCCAGACCCGCGCCCCACCCGUCAUCUCCAGGUGACCCCCUGAAAUCUCUGAAAUCGCGGAGACCCCUCCCCGCUGAAGGUUUUAGGCCUCCUCCCUAUUUAUCUGUAAACAGCUUAUAUUAUUGAUUUGGAGGAUCUGACGUUCCCAUAAAUGGCUUUUUGUUGUACUGUGUCGCCGUCUGCUCUGCUUUUCCCACCCAGCCUGGUAUUCUGGAGGCGUGUGUGCCACACGCAGCUCUGGUUCACUCCUUUUAGCACCUGCGUAGCAUCCAAUCCAGUGAGCGCCCCGCAGCCGACCACACGCAUUCCCCAAGGACGGUCUUUCCCCUUUUUUCUCUCACACAUCCCGAGAGAGCGAACAACUCCGGGCUCUUCUUGAGCGCCUGUGUGUGAGUUUCUCCAGCAUUUAUCGAGUGUGGAACGGCUGGGUGUGGGGCUAAGCGCCCAUUACAUGUCCACACUACCUUUUUUCAUUCCAUGGGGCUGCAGUCACAGGAUACAGUAUGUGCACUGGGCAGCUGCAACAGCAGGCGUAAGUUCUCCCAGCUCUGGAGGCUGGAGGUCCAGUUAAGGGACUCGCAGAUGUGGAAACUGGUAAGGGCUCCGGGCUUGGUCUGGCCACGUUCUCACUCUGUCGUCACCUUGGGGGGGGGGAGGAGAGAGGGAG
rnacentral:lncRNA from 9 species